AUACGAAGGGGGCUAGCGUUGCUCGGAAUGACUGGGCGUAAAGGGCGUGUAGGCGGUUGAUACAGUCAGAUGUGAAAUCCCCGGGCUUAACCUGGGAGCUGCAAUUUGAGACGUAUUGACUAGAGUGUGAGAGAGGGUUAUGGAAUUCCCAGUGUAGAGGUGAAAUUCGUAGAUAUUGGGAAGAACACCGGUGGCGAAGGCGGCAACCUGGCUCAUUACUGACGCUGAGGCGCGAAAGCGUGGGGAGC
rnacentral:rRNA from 1 species